CAGUCGCCGCGGGAAUACGAAGGGUGCAGGCGUUAAUCGGAAUUACUGGGCGUAAAGCGUGCGUAGGCGGUUUGUUAAGUCUGCUGUGAAAUCCCCGGGCUCAACCUGGGAAUGGCAGUGGAUACUGGCAAGCUAGAGUGUGUCAGAGGAUGGUGGAAUUCCCGGUGUAGCGGUGAAAUGCGUAGAGAUCGGGAGGAACAUCAGUGGCGAAGGCGGCCAUCUGGGACAACACUGACGCUGAGGCACGAAAGCGUGGGGAGCAAACAGGAUUAGAUACCCCUGUAGUCCCUGUCUCUUAUAC
rnacentral:rRNA from 1 species